GAUGAACGCUGACAGAAUGCUUAACACAUGCAAGUCAACUUGAACUUCGGUUUGGGUGGCGGACGGGUGAGUAACGCGUAAAGAACUUGCCUCACAGCUAGGGACAACAUUUGGAAACGAAUGCUAAUACCUGAUAUUAUUAUUUUAUGGCAUCAUAGGGUAAUGAAAGCUAUAAGCGCUGCGAGAGAGCUUUGCGUCCCAUUAGCUAGUUGGAGAGGUAACGGCUCACCAAGGCGAUGAUGGGUAGCCGACCUGAGAGGGUGAACGGCCACAAGGGGACUGAGACACGGCCCUU
rnacentral:rRNA from 1 species